CCUGCGGAAGGUCAUUAAAAGUCAUUAUAUUUAUGAAACCCUUCUGUGUAUUUUUACCUGUUUGGCUUCUGGCAAAAUAGAGUAUAAUAAACUCUCCAGAACAAAAUGCUUUAAACUAUUAUUUUCAAUAAUAUCUGUCUGAUUUUGUAAUAAAUAAAUAUUAAAACUUUCAACAACGGAUCUCUUGGUUCUCGCAUCGAUGAAGAACGCAGCGAAAUGCGAUAAGUAGUGUGAAUUGCAGAAUUCAGUGAAUCAUCGAAUCUUUGAACGCACAUUGCGCCUUCUAGUAUUCUGGGAGGCAUGCCUGUUUGAGCGUCAUUAAACCUCUCUCAAGUAAGAUUUACUUGGAUGUGAAGGAAGAGUACUUUAAAACUUUAAGGAGUUCUCCUUUGAAAUUGAUUAGCAGAUGGAAAAGUUAUCAAAUCCCUGAUGUUGUAUAAAAUAACAGCAGUUUUGUAGACUAAUUAUAUCUAGCUUCAAAUUCUGAUUUCUAUUAUGGUUGACCUCAAAUCAGGUAAGGAUACCCGCUGAACUUAAGCAUAUCAAUAA
rnacentral:sRNA from 1 species